rnacentral:rRNA from 1 species
AGAGUUUGAUCAUGGCUCAGGAUGAACGCUGGCGGUAUGCUUAACACAUGCAAGUCGAACGGAAGUCUUUCGGGACUUUAGUGGCGGACGGGUGAGUAACGCGUGAGUAUCUACCUACAGGACUGGGACAACGACUGGAAACGGUCGCUAAAACCGGAUGUGCCGAGAGGUGAAAUAUUAAUAGCCUGUAGAUGAGCUUGCGUCUGAUUAGCUAGUUGGUGGGGUAAGGGCCUACCAAGGCGACGAUCAGUAGCUGGUCUGAGAGGACGAUCAGCCACACUGGGACUGAGACACGGCCCAGACUCCUACGGGAGGCAGCAGUGGGGAAUUUUCCGCAAUGGGCGAAAGCCUGACGGAGCAAUACCGCGUGAGGGAGGAAGGUCUGUGGAUUGUAAACCUCUUUUGAUAGGGAAGAAGUUCUGACGGUACCUAUCGAAUCAGCAUCGGCUAACUCCGUGCCAGCCGCCGCGGUAAUAC